ensembl:lncRNA
CUCUGGGAAGGAAGUGGCAGAGUUCCUAAGGCUUCUGGGUUCUCAUGUGACCGACUAUGUAGAUGAGUGAGAAUUGGAACUGUCUUCACUUUUUAAAAGUGAUUGACGCUGAUGCCAUUUCUCUGAGUCUAGUGGGAGAUAUUAUUGUAGCCACACCAGCCCAAGGGAAGAUCAUUUUGCCACAUGUCUUGGAUAUGGUAAAAUAGAGCAAAGGGUUAGUCUAUGAUGCAGUGAAACUGUCUCGAAGACCACAGGUUCCUGGAAUGAGUAACCUGCCGCUGGAACUCUCCAUCAGGUGUGCACAAUUGUGUUGAUUGAUCUCCUGUUUUUAGAAGCUAGCAUUUUACAGCCAUUCAUUUUCAAUCUGGCAAUCAGGCUGAUUAAACUUUGACAAGCAUAAAGAAAAAGAAAAGGAAAUAAUAACUCCUGCUAAAUUUUAACUGGAGAAGAAAGCUGACAGCCCUGGAAGGGAGAAACGAUGAGUAUUUGAAAAAUAAAAUUUGAAAAAUAAAAUUUGAAAAAACAAUGGGCACCUGGAGGAUACUUGUUAAAAUACUUGUUAAAAUAAUUAGUGAUAAAGCUUUGAAUCUCAAAUCAUCUCCAAAUGUCUUUAGCUUGAUUAACAUGAGUAAAGUGCCUUUAAGGGAUACACGAGGUGUUGGUUUUGACUAUCUUUUGGGGAGGGGUUUCAGCUCCACACGUCUGAGUUUAAAGGAUCAUUCUAAUCGCUUCAUCCUUCUCCAGUGGUUCUCAACUGGGGGCAGUUUUGCCCCCCAAGGCAUAUUUGGCAAUAUCUGGAGACAUUGUUGGUUGUCACAGCUUGGGCUGGAUGCUAAUGGCCUCUGGUGGGUGGAGGCCAAGGGUGAUGCUUAACCUCCUGUGAUGCACAGCCAGGCGCCGCAACAGGGAAUUACCCAGCUCAAAAUGUCAAUAAUGCCGAAGUUGAGAAACAAUGAUUUUUCCCGCAUGGUUCUAGACUAGGAAGUCCUUGUUUCCUUAUUUAACGGUUCUAACUAUAACCCAGAUGUCACCCAAGCUUCACUCUGUGCUUGGAGAGUUAGGUGACAUUAUGUUGGGGUCAAGCCAAUAUUCUGAGAGAGGUUCGAUGUCCUCCCCAAGAGUUUUGAAAACGUCUGGGAGCUCCUGUUCUGAAGGUCACUCGGGCUGCUAUAAACCACAGAUUUUAAUCCCACCUUCCCUCCUGUUAGUCUCUCUCUGCUCACUUCGGAAUCAGACAUGGAACUUGACCUCCCUGCCUUUUUAUAUUCACAGAAACCUCAAAUAAGACAUUAGUGUAACAGAGUUUGCUGAAACUAUUUUUUGAGGGGAGGGGUGUGUAUUCUGG